rnacentral:rRNA from 1 species
GACGAACGCUGGCGGCGUGCCUAAUACAUGCAAGUUAAGCGCUGAAGGUUGGUACUUGUACCAACUGGAUGAGCAGCGAACGGGUGAGUAACGCGUGGGGAAUCUGCCUUUGAGCGGGGGACAACAUUUGGAAACGAAUGCUAAUACCGCAUAAAAACUUUAAACACAAGUUUUAAGUUUGAAAGAUGCAAUUGCAUCACUCAAAGAUGAUCCCGCGUUGUAUUAGCUAGUUGGUGAGGUAAAGGCUCACCAAGGCGAUGAUACAUAGCCGACCUGAGAGGGUGAUCGGCCACAUUGGGACUGAGACACGGCCCAAACUCCUACGGGAGGCAGCAGUAGGGAAUCUUCGGCAAUGGACGAAAGUCUGACCGAGCAACGCCGCGUGAGUGAAGAAGGUUUUCGGAUCGUAAAACCCUGUUGGUAGAGAAGAACGUUGGUGAGAGUGGAAAGCUCAUCAAGUGACGGUAACUACCCAGAAAGGGACGGCUAACUACGUG